AGUGCCUGCUAUGUGCCAGGCA
rnacentral:miRNA from 2 species